AAGAGUGCAAAAACUUCUUUAGCUUUCAAAAUGGUAUAUAGUACAAACAGUGAAGCUAAUAUAGACACAUCUGAUCAUUCAUCAUCAACAAUAACUGCAUCUGAGAAUUAUAGUUCUACAGUAACCGUGGAGUCUAGGUCAACAAUUACUAUUUCUCAUCCAAGCCGUUUUUGUUUAACUGCUACACAUUCCCUGACUCUGCCAAGGAAAAGGGUAAAAUCAAAAUGAUAUCCUGAGGACCUAAGCACUGAUGAUUCCACCGUUUCAAGAGCUUAAUCACUUGUCACCAGAUUAUGGAAAAAAAAUAAAGAACAAAAAAUUAAAAUUCGAAGAUUGCAACAAGCAAAUUUGCGCCAAAGAAAUUAAAUUAGAUGUCUCAAGUCAUUAUUAAAAUACUUACAUGAAAUAAUAACAUGAU